rnacentral:misc_RNA from 1 species
GUGAAUCAUCGAAUCUUUGAACGCACAUUGCGCCCGCUAGUAUUCUGGCGGGCAUGCCUGUUCGAGCGUCAUUUCAACCCUCAGGCACUGCUUGGUGUUGGGUCCCUACAGUGAACUACACGUAGGCCCUGAAAUCUAGUGGCGGGCUGGCUAAGGCUCUGAGCGUAGUAGUCUAUUCGUCGCUUAGGAGGCGUAGCAAGUUCCGGCCGUUAAAAACCCCCCACUAAAAGGUUGACCUCGGAUCAGGUAGGAAUACCCGCUGAACUUAAGCAUAUCAAUAAGCGGAGGA